CAAUGAGAAGCCCUCAGCAUGUAAAAUCCAUUACAUAACUGUGGAUAGAAAGAUAAAAAGUCUCGUUUUAGUUUAUUUAUUGACCUCGGCUAUGCCUCGGAUCAACAAAAUUCACACUUAAACUCUACUUCUCAUCCAUAUUUACUCUAGUUAUAUAAAAUACUAUU